GAAAUGCGAUAAGUAAUGUGAAUUGCAGAAUUCAGUGAAUCAUCGAAUCUUUGAACGCACAUUGCGCCCGCCAGUAUUCUGGAGGGCAUGCCUGUCCGAGCGUCAUUUGAACCAUCAAGCCCCCGGGCUUGUGUUGGGGACCUGCGGCUGCCCGCAGGCCCUGAAAACCAGUGGCGGGCUCGCUGUCACACCGAGCGUAGUAGCAAUCACCUCGCUCAGGGCGUGCUGCGGGUUCCGGCCGUUAAACAGCCUUACAAAACCCAAGGUUGACCUCGGAUCAGGUAGGAAGACCCGCUGAACUUAAGC
rnacentral:misc_RNA from 1 species